rnacentral:rRNA from 1 species
UACGUAGGGCGCGAGCGUUGUCCGGAAUUAUUGGGCGUAAAGGGCUCGUAGGCGGCCAACUAAGUCAGACGUGAAAUCCCUCGGCUUAACCGGGGAACUGCGUCUGAUACUGGAUGGCUUGAGUUUGGGAGAGGGAUGCGGAAUUCCAGGUGUAGCGGUGAAAUGCGUAGAUAUCUGGAGGAACACCGGUGGCGAAGGCGGCAUCCUGGACCAACACUGACGCUGAGGAGCGAAAGCCAGGGGAGCAAACGGG